UACGGAGGGUGCAAGCGUUAAUCGGAAUUACUGGGCGUAAAGCGUGCGCAGGCGGUUUUGUAAGUCUGUCGUGAAAGCCCCGGGCUUAACCUGGGAAUUGCGAUGGAGACUGCAAGGCUUGAAUCUGGCAGAGGGGGGUAGAAUUCCACGUGUAGCAGUGAAAUGCGUAGAGAUGUGGAGGAACACCGAUGGCGAAGGCAGCCCCCUGGGUCAAGAUUGACGCUCAUGCACGAAAGCGUGGGGAGCAAACAGG
rnacentral:rRNA from 1 species